UCAUGACCUGAGCUGAAGGCAGAGGCUUAACCCACUGAGCCACCCAGACACCCGUUCUGUGAUUUUCUAUCUAAAACUUUCACCAGACCCUCACGUUGUCUUCAGAGUCGCUGAAUUUGGGAAUCGGGCAGACGGGAAGGCAGGCUGGUAUUUGGUUCGGAGUCAGGGCCGUGAAGCGGAGGGUGCUGGGAGCGGCCUCCCCAGCGCAGCGAGGGUCACACCCGGCACAGAGUGCGUUCCACCCUUCGGUCUGGCUCUGGCCUUUCCCGGGGGCUUAGGUGGCCCCCGGAAGGCGGUCCGGCCCGGAGCCUGUGGGGCUGUGAGUGAUCCUGCAUCGGCUCGCGCUGUCCCCACCCUUUCCAGGAUGACCGUGUGGCUCCGAGGGAGGACGGGGCUCUGCGUUCAUCGCGCCGCGUCGGCGGGUUCCUCAGACGUGGCCGUGGUCUGCGCUGCCGCGAGCAGGAGAACGUAUCUGUGUGUUUGCGGAGAUCGUAAUUACGGUUGCUGUUCCGAGUAACUUCCAGAUGAAGGCAGUUCUUUCGUCAGGACUGCUGUUGAGCGUGAGGUGUUGAGUGGGUGUCCCACAGGAACAACAAACAGAAAAACGAGGGGAAAGCAGUAUCUGCGUCCCCUGACACACGGCGGCUUUGCCGUUAGUAACCGGCAUUUAGUGCUCUGCGUUUGGGGCCUGUCAUCAGGGUGAUGCACGCGUGGGGAGGUAGGCUCCAUCCCCACCACCGGCCGGUGUCCGAGGCCAGCAAACAGGAGGAAGGAGGGAUCCUGGGACCUGUCCCUGGGCCAGCAGGCCCAGCUUUCAGCGUCUGGCCAUCCGCCACCACCGACCGUGCCGACCUCCGGCUUGGAUCUGGAGUUCCCUCUCGUGCGUCCUCGCUCUGACUUCUUCCCACCUGGUGCUGUCCUCGUGGCGUGGCUGGAAGCGGGGAGGCUCCUGGGACUGCGGCUGCUGUCCUUCUCGGGAACGCUGCGGUGGGUCCUUGAAGUGCCAGGCCACCGGGGACGUGGUUUGUCCCGAAAGCCCCAGGCCGUCCUCCCGGGCCCCAUUCUGCCACUGUGUGUUGUGAAGUGGGACGUGUCCGAGGCUUUGACCCCGUCUCCGUGGGUGUGCGACCCAGGGUUUCCAUGACGGCCGCGGCCAGUGUCUGACUCUGGCUCCCCCGAGCCAGUGGGUGUGGAGGUAGUCCUGGUGACGCAGAGCCGGAUCCAAAUGCUCUAGUCUCUCUUGGAGGAGAAUGUGUAUCUCAGGAGUGGUUUUUAAGUGGCCAAGAACUUCACAUUAAAAUCAGUGGGAUGAAGGCAGUGGGGACCUCUGUGAUUCCGGGUACACUGAGAGUUCCUGGCAGUGCUGGGACUUUCCAUGUGGCCCGAGAGUUCUAGUCUUCACGGUGGCUGCACGUGGGGUUUCCUCGUUCUUGCAGCAAGUGUUUAUUGAGUGCUUGCUGUAUGCCUGGCCCCAUGCUGGCUGUGGGACUAUACCUCUGGGCUCUGAGCUGGGGUGGGAGAAGCCAGCUGGAUAAGCCUGGUGUGAGCCUCGUGGGGACAGGAACUGGCCACCGCUGACCCAGAGAUGGGGGCCCCUUCAGCACCCACACUGGAGCCCCGUCCCUGGGGGCGCCCCCCUUGCCAGGAGCCCUCUGGCCGGCGCAGUAAAGACAGCGGCGAGCCGUUUCCACGGUGCCGCUUUACAGCUCGCGUGCUGAGCAGAAAGGUCGCUGCUCGUCUUAGAGUGUAUUUGAAGGGGCGCACAUCUGGAAAUUUAAUUCCAAACCUAAACCACUUAAGAAGUAAGCCAAAAAAAAAAAAAAAAGGAAAGAAAGAAAGAAAAGAAAGACGC